UACAGAGGUCCCGAGCGUUGUUCGGAUUCACUGGGCGUAAAGGGUGCGUAGGUGGCGAUGAAAGUUCGAUGUGAAAUCUCCGGGCUUAACCCGGAAAAGGCAUUGAAAACUAUGUUGCUUGAGGUUUGGAGGGGGGACUGGAAUUCUUGGUGUAGCAGUGAAAUGCGCAGAUAUCAGGAGGAACACCGGUGGCGAAGGCGGGUCUCUGGGCCGAUACUGACGCUGAGGAGCGAAAGCGUGGGGAGCGAACAGG
rnacentral:rRNA from 1 species